rnacentral:rRNA from 1 species
GACGAACGCUGGCGGCGUGCCUAAUACAUGCAAGUCGAACGAGUGGCGGACGGGUGAGUAACACGUGGGAACCUACCCAUCAGAGGGGGAUAACACUUGGAAACAGGUGCUAAUACCGCAUACCGAUGGAUGGACCCGGGUGCCAUUAGCCAGUUGGUGGGGUAACGGCUCACCAAGGCCACGAGGCAUCACCGGUCUGAGAGGAUGUCCAGCCACACUGGGACUGAGACACGGCCCAGACUCCUACGGGAGGCAGCAGUGGGGAAUAUGGCACAAUGGGCGCAAUCCUGAUGCAGCCAUGCCGCGUGUAUGAAGAAGGCCUUAGGGUUGUAAAGUACUUUCAGCGGGGAGGCGUUACCCGCAGAAGAAGCACCGGCUAACUCCGUGCCAGCAGCCGCGGUAAUUC